rnacentral:rRNA from 1 species
UACGUAGGGUGCGAGCGUUGUCCGGAAUUAUUGGGCGUAAAGAGCUCGUAGGCGGUGUGUCACGUCGGCCGUGAAAACCUGCAGCUUAACUGUGGGCGUGCGGUCGAUACGGGCAUCACUGGAGUUCGGCAGGGGAGACUGGAAUUCUCGGUGUAGCGGUGAAAUGCGUAGAUAUCGAGAGGAACACCUGCGGCGAAGGCGGGUUGCUGGGCCGACACUGACGCUGAUGCGCGAAAGCCAGGGGAGCGAACGGG